AACUUUUGACGGUGGAUCUCUUGGCUCACGCAUCGAUGAAGAACGCAGCCAGCUGCGAUAAGUAGUGUGAAUUGCAGAAUUCAGUGAAUCAUCGAAUCUUUGAACGCAAAUGGCGCUCUUGGGUUCUCCCAGGAGCAUGUCUGUCUGAGUGUCGG
rnacentral:rRNA from 1 species